GGUGUAGCUAUUGUUUAUGUUACGGCCAUAAAAUAGAUAUUAUUGUAUCCUACACUU
rnacentral:tRNA from 1 species